CAGCAGCCGCGGGAAUACGGAGGGUGCAAGCGUUAAUCGGAAUUACUGGGCGUAAAGCGCACGCAGGCGGUCUGACAAGUCAGAUGUGAAAUCCCCGGGCUUAACCUGGGAACUGCAUUUGAAACUGUCUGGCUGGAGUCUUGUAGAGGGGGGUAGAAUUCCAGGUGUAGCGGUGAAAUGCGUAGAGAUCUGGAGGAAUACCGGUGGCGAAGGCGGCCCCCUGGACAAAGACUGACGCUCAGGUGCGAAAGCAUGGGGAGCAAAUAGGAUUAGAUACCCCUGUAGUCCCUGUCUCUUAUAC
rnacentral:rRNA from 1 species